AGGUCGCUAGCUCAAUUGGUAGAGUUGCGGAUUCCAAAUCCGCCGGUUGGGGGUUCGAGUCCCUCGCGGCCUGCCA
rnacentral:tRNA from 1 species